UGGCUCAGAGGUUAAAGCGCCUGCCUGCAAUGCAGGAGACCUGAGUUCGAUCCCUG
rfam:Ovis aries breed Texel chromosome 3, whole genome shotgun sequence.